rnacentral:rRNA from 1 species
CCUACGGGAGGCAGCAGUGGGGGAUAUUGCACAAUGGGGGAAACCCUGAUGCAGCGACGCCGCGUGGGUGAAGAAGGAUUUCGGUAUGUAAAGCCCUAUCAGCAGGGAAGAAGAAAUGACGGUACCUGAGUAAGAAGCACCGGCUAAAUACGGGCCAGAAGCCGCGGUAAUACGAAUGGUGCAAGCGUUAUCCGGAUUUACUGGGUGAAAAGGGAGCGCAGGCGGGAUGGCAAGGCUGAUGUGAAAGGCCGGGGCCCAACCGCGGGACUGCAUUGGGAACUGCCGGGCUGGAGUGCCGGAGAGGUAGGCGGAAUUCCUAGUGUAGCGGUGAAAUGCGUAGAUAUGAGGAGGAACACCAGUGGCGAAGGCGGCCUACUGGACGGUGACUGACGCUGAGGCUCGAAAGCGUGGGGAGCAAACAGGAUUAGAUACCCGAGUAGUC